rnacentral:tRNA from 1 species
UCCGACUUGGCAGAAAAUAUGCAAUAAAUUUAGAAUUUAUCUAUGAUUUUUUAAUCAGUUGGGAC